rnacentral:rRNA from 1 species
UUCGACGGGGCCCGCACAAGCGGUGGAGCAUGUGGUUUAAUUCGAAGCAACGCGAAGAACCUUACCAGGUCUUGACAUCCCUGACAACCCAGAGAUUGGGCGUUCCCCUUCGGGGGACAGGGUGACAGGUGGUGCAUGGUUGUCGUCAGCUCGUGUCGUGAGAUGUUGGGUUAAGUCCCGCAACGAGCGCAACCCUUACGGUUAGUUGCCAGCGGUUAAAGCCGGGCACUCUAGCUGAACUGCCGUUGACAAAACGGAGGAAGGUGGGAUGACGUCAAAUCAUCAUGCCCUUUAUAUCCUGGGCUACACACGUGCUACAAUGGCCUGUACAGAGGGCAGCGAAGGGGCAACCUGGAGCGAAUCCCAAAAAGCAGGUCUCAGUUCGGAUUGCAGGCUGCAACUCGCCUGCAUGAAGUCGGAAUCGCUAGUAAUCGCAGGUCAGCAUACUGCGGUGAAUACGUUCCCGGGCCUU